rnacentral:other from 1 species
GCGGAAAGCGUCUAGCCAUGGCGUUAGUACGAGUGUCGUGCAGCCUCCAGGCCCCCCCCUCCCGGGAGAGCCAUAGUGGUCUGCGGAACCGGUGAGUACACCGGAAUCGCCGGGACGACCGGGUCCUUUCUUGGAACAACCCGCUCAAUGCCCGGAAAUUUGGGCGUGCCCCCGCGAGAUCACUAGCCGAGUAGUGUUGGGUCGCGAAAGG